UACGUAGGUGGCAAGCGUUGUCCGGAAUUACUGGGCGUAAAGGGCGCGUAGGCGGCAGCUUAAGUCAGAUGUGAAAACCCGGGGCUCAACCUCGGAACUGCAUUUGAAACUGGGCAGCUAGAGUGUCGGAGAGGAAAGCGGAAUUCCUAGUGUAGCGGUGAAAUGCGUAGAUAUUAGGAGGAACACCAGUGGCGAAGGCGGCUUUCUGGACGAUAACUGACGCUGAGGCGCGAAAGCGUGGGGAGCAAACAGG
rnacentral:rRNA from 1 species